CCCUUAGAUGUUCUGGGCCGCACGCGUGCUACACUGAGUGGAUCAGCGGGUCAGGUUACGCGAGAGCGUUUCCUAAUCUUCAAAUCCGCUCGUGAUGGGGAUUGACGGUUGCAAUUUUCCGUCAUGAACGAGGAAUACCUUGUAAGCGCGGGUCAUCAUCCCGCGCUGAAUACGUCCCUGCCCUUUGUACACACCGCCCGUCGCUCCUACCGAUUGAGUGGUCCGGUGAGGCUUUGGGAUCUAAGCGAAAAGAGUGUUUCGCUCCUUUUGCUGGGAGAACUCAGUCGAACCUUAUCAUUUAGAGGAAGGAGAAGUCGUAACA
rnacentral:rRNA from 1 species